UACGUAGGGUGCAAGCGUUUAAUCGGAAUUACUGGCGUAAAGCGUGCGCAGGCGGCUUUGCAAGACAGAUGUGAAAUCCCCGGGCUUAACCUGGGAACUGCAUUUGUGGACUGCAUGGCUGGAGUGCGGCAGAGGGGGAUGGAAUUCCGCGUGUAGCAGUGAAAUGCGUAGAUAUGCGGAGGAACACCGAUGGCGAAGGCAAUCCCCUGGGCCUGCACUGACGCUCAUGCACGAAAGGCGUGGGGAGCAAACAGG
rnacentral:rRNA from 1 species